rnacentral:tRNA from 2 species
GCGGGCGUAGCUCAAUUGGAUAGAGCACCUGACUACGGAUCAGGAGGUUAGGGGUUCGACUCCUCUCGCCCGUG